rnacentral:rRNA from 1 species
CUGCUGCCUCCCGUAGGAGUUUGGGCCGUGUCUCAGUCCCAAUGUGGCCGGUCACCCUCUCAGGUCGGCUACUGAUCGUCGCCUUGGUGGGCCGUUACCCCGCCAACCAGCUAAUCAGACGCGGGUCCAUCUCAUACCACCGGAGUUUUUCACACCAGGACAUGCAUCCCUGUGCGCUUAUGCGGUAUUAGCAGUCAUUUCUAACUGUUAUCCCCCUGUAUGAGGCAGGUUACCCACGCGUUACUCACCCGUCCCG